rnacentral:lncRNA from 1 species
ACGUCUUUCACUUGUUCAAGCUCAAAUUUCCUGUGGUUACUUCUUGAGUGCUCCUAAGUAAAAGAAAAUUAUCAAAAAAAAAAAUAAAAAGAAUUGCAGGUUUCGAACCGUGUUGUUCGCAAGCUGGAUUGAUUUGUCUCUUUUCCACCAAAUCGAUAGUUGCCAGAAACUUUCGGAAGAUCGGGCCACACUUAUUCUCCUCAAGUGGUAAUCAAAGCUUCAGACAUAACGUUAGGUUCACAUCUACCCUUAGUUUCAAGUGUCCUUGUGUUGGUCCCAUAAGUCUGGUGCCGUAUUAUUUUCAUGUCCUACAACCCAUCCGCGCCAUAGCCUUUGCAUAUUUCAGUUUCCGAGUCCGUAGUGUUGAGUUUGUGUCCUGGUCGAGCUCUUGUUACUGGUUAGGUCUUGUUAGAGUCCAAUUUGUAUGUUUCUUCCCACCGUUUCCAUCAAUUUAUAGCCACCGCCGCAAAUUUUCCCACUUCUGGACUGUUUUGUCCUCUAAUUCGGAGUCCGUUCUUAAAACAGUCAUAACUUUCGCAUACGAACUCCGAUUUUGGCAUUCUAUAUAUCAAAAUCGAUCAGAAAAUUUUUCUGGGUCUGUCUAUGCCUGCUAGCGGGUUCGACAAAUUUAGAAUCCCCAAAUUCGCCUCUGAAGUUUGAGUUUUCACCUCCUAAAGUUUUCUUUAUAUUUUUCGCAAUCUUCAAAACUUUCCACAGGCCACGUCUUUCACUUGUUCAAGCUCAAAUUUCCUGUGGUUACUUCUUGUGUGCUCCUAAGUAAAAGAAAAAUAUCAAAGAAAAAUAAAAAGAACUGCAGGUUUCGAACCAUGUUGUUCGCAAGCUGGAUUGAUUUGUGUCUCUUUUCCACCAAAUCGAUAGUUGCCAGAAACUUUCGGAAGAUCGGGCCACACUUAUUCUCCUCAAGUGGUAAUCAAAGCUUCAGACAUAACGUUAGGUUCACAUCUACCCUUAGUUUCGAGUGUCCUUGUGUUCGUCCCAUAAGUCUGGUGCCAUAUUGUUUUCAUGUCCUACAACCCAUCCGCGCCAUAGCCUUUGCAUAUUUCAGUUUCAGAGUCCGUAGUGUUGAGUUUGUGUCCUGGUCGAGGUCUUGUUACUGGUUAGGUCUUGUUAGAGUCCAAUUUGUGUGUUUCUUCCCACCGUUUCCAUCAAUUUAUAGCCACCGCCGCAAAUUUUCCCACUUCUGGACUGUUUUGUCCUCUAAUUCGGAGUCCGUUCGUAAAACAGCCAUAACUUUCGCAUACGAACUCCGAUUUUGACGUUCCAUAUAUCAAAAUCGAUCAGAAAAUUUUUUUUGGGUCUGUCUAUGCCCGCCAUAGGCGGGUUCGACAAAUUAGGAUCCCCAAAUUCGCCUCUGAAGUUUGAGUUUUCACCUCCUAAAGUUUUCUUUAUAUUUUUCGCAAUCUUCAAAACUUUCCACAGGCCACGUCUUUCACUUGUUCAAGCUCAAAUUUCCUGUGGUUACUUCUUGAGUGCUCCCAAGUUAAAGAAAAAUAUCAAAAAAAAUAAAAAGAAUUGCAGGUUUCGAACCGUGUUGUUCGUAAGCUGGAUUGAUUUGUGUCUUUUUUCCACCAAAUCGAUAGUUGCCAGAAACUUUCGGAAGAUCGGGCCACACUUAUUCUCCUCAAGUGGUAAUCAAAGCUUCAGACAUAACGUUAGGUUCACAUCUACCCUUAGUUUCGAGUGUCCUUGUGUUCGUCCCAUAAGUCUGGUGCCAUAUUGUUUUCAUGUCCUACAACCCAUCCGCGCCAUAGCCUUUGCAUAUUUCAGUUUCCGAGUUCGUAGUGUUGAGUUUGUGUCCUGGUCGAGAUCUUGUUACUGGUUAGGUCUUGUUAGAGUCCAAUUUGUGUGUUUCUUCCCACCGUUUCCAUCAAUUUAUAGCCACCGCCGCAAAUUUUCCCACUUCUGGACUGUUUUGUCCUCUAAUUCGGAGUCCGUUCGUAAAACAGCCAUAACUUUCGCAUACGAACUCCGAUUUUGACGUUGCAUAUAUCAAAAUCGAUCAGAAAAUUUUUUUGGGUCUGUCUAUGCCCGCUUUGCGGGUUCGACAAAUUUAUAAUCCCCAAAUUCGCCUCUAAAGUUGGAGUUUUCACCUCCUAAUGUUUUCUUUAUAUUUUUCGCAAUCUUCAAAAGUUUCCACAGGCCACGUCUUUCACUUGUUCAAGCUCAAAUUUCCUGUGGUUACUUCUUGAGUGCUCCUAAGUAAAAGAAAAAUAUCUCAAAAAAAUAAAAUAAUUGCAGGUUUCGAACCGUGUUGUUCGCAAAUUGGAUUGAUUUGUGUCUCUUUUCCACCAAAUCGAUAGUUGCCAGAAACUUUCGGAAGAUCGGGCCACACUUAUUCUCCUCAAGUGGUAAUCAAAGCUUCAGACAUAACGUUAGGUUCACAUCUACCCUUAGUUUCGAGUGUCCUUGUGUUCGUCCCAUAAGUCUGGUGCCAUAUUGUUUUCAUGUCCUACAACCCAUCCGCGCCAUAGCCUUUGCAUAUUUCAGUUUUAGAGUCCGUAGUGUUGAGUUUGUGUCCUGGUCGAGGUCUUGUUACUGGUUAGGUCUUGUUAGAGUCCAAUUUGUGUGUUUCUUCCCACCGUUUCCAUCAAUUUAUAGCCACCGCCGCAAAUUUUCCCACUUCAGGACUGUUUUGUCCUCUAAUUCGGAGUCCGUUCGUAAAACAGCCAUAACUUUCGCAUACGUUCCAUAUAUCAAAAUCGAUCAGAAAAUUUUUUUUGGGUCUGUCUAUGCCCGCCACGGGCGGGUUCGACAAAUUAGGAUCCCCAAAUUCGCCUCUGAAGUUUGAGUUUUCAUCUCCUAAAGUUUUCUUUAUAUUUUUCGCAAUCUUCAAAACUUUCCACAGGCCACGUCUUUCACUUGUUCAAGCUCAAAUUUCCUGUGGUUACUUCUUGAGUGCUCCUAAGUAAAAGAAAAAUAUCAAAGAAAAAAUAAAAUAAUUGCAGGUUUCGAACCGUGUUGUUCGCAAACUGGAUUGAUUUGUGUCUCUUUUCCACCAAAUCGAUAGUUGCCAGAAGCUUUCGGAAGAUCGGGCCACACUUAUUCUCCUCAAGUGGUAAUCAAAGCUUCAGACAUAACGUUAGGUUCACAUCUACCCUUUGUUUCGAGUGUCCUUGUGUUCGUCCCAUAAGUCUGGUGCCAUAUUCUUUUCAUGUCCUACAACCCAUCCGCGCCAUAGCCUUUGCAUAUUUCAGUUUCAGAGUCCGUAGUGUUGAGUUUGUGUCCUGGUCGAGGUCUUGUUACAGGUUAGGUCUUGUUAGAGUCCAAUUUGUGUGUUUCUUCCCACCGUUUCCAUCAAUUUAUAGCCACCGCCGCAAAUUUUCCCACUUCUGGACUGUUUUGUCCUCUAAUUCGGAGUCCGUUCGUAAAACAGCCAUAACUUUCGCAUACGAACUCCGAUUUUGACGUUCCAUAUAUCAAAAUCGAUCAGAAAAUUUUUUUUGGGUCUGUCUAUGCCCGCCACGGGCGGGUUCGACAAAUUAGGAUCCCCAAAUUCGCCUCUGAAGUUUGAGUUUUCAUCUUCUAAAGUUUUCUUUAUAUUUUUCGCAAUCUUCAAAACUUUCCACAGGCCACGUCUUUCACUUGUUCAAGCUCAAAUUUCCUGUGGUUACUUCUUGAGUGCUCCCAAGUUAAAGAAAAAUAUCAAAAAAAAAUAAAAAGAAUUGCAGGUUUCGAACCGUGUUGUUCGGAAGCUGGAUUGAUUUGUGUCUUUUUUCCACCAAAUCGAUAGUUGCCAGAAACUUUCGGAGGAUCGGGCCACACUUAUUCUCCUCAAGUGGUAAUCAAAGCUUCAGACUUAACGUUAGGUUCACAUCUACCCUUAGUUUCGAGUGUCCUUGUGUUCGUCCCAUAAGUCUGGUGCCAUAUUGUUUUCAUGUCCUACAACCCAUCCGCGCCAUAGCCUUUGCAUAUUUCAGUUUCCGAGUUCGUAGUGUUGAGUUUGUGUCCUGGUCGAGAUCUUGUUACUGGUUAGGUCUUGUUAGAGUCCAAUUUGUGUGUUUCUUCCCACCGUUUCCAUCAAUUUAUAGCCACCGCCGCAAAUUUUCCCACUUCUGGACUGUUUUGUCCUCUAAUUCGGAGUCCGUUCGUAAAACAGCCAUAACUUUCGCAUACGAACUCCGAUUUUGACGUUGCAUAUAUCAAAAUCGAUCAGAAAAUUUUUUUGGGUCUGUCUAUGCCCGCUUUGCGGGUUCGACAAAUUUAUAAUCCCCAAAUUCGCCUCUAAAGUUGGAGUUUUCACCUCCUAAUGUUUUCUUUAUAUUUUUCGCAAUCUUCAAAAGUUUCCACAGGCCACGUCUUUCACUUGUUCAAGCUCAAAUUUCCUGUGGUUACUUCUUGAGUGCUCCUAAGUAAAAGAAAAAUAUCAAAGAAAAAAUAAAAUAAUUGCAGGUUUCGAACCGUGUUGUUCGCAAACUGGAUUGGGUAAUCAAAGCUUCAGACAUAACGUUAGGUUCACAUCUACCCUUAGUUUCGAGUGUCCUUGUGUUCGUCCCAUAAGUCUGGUGCCAUAUUGUUUUCAUGUCCUACAACCCAUCCGCGCCAUAGCCUUUGCAUAUUUCAGUUUCAGAGUCCGUAGUGUUGAGUUUGUGUCCUGGUCGAGGUCUUGUUACUGGUUGUUAGAGUCCAAUUUUUGUGUUUCUUCCCACCGUUUCCAUCAAUUUAUAGCCACCGCCGCAAAUUUUACCACUUCUAGACUGUUUUGUCAUCUAAUUCGGAGUCCGUUCGUAAAACAGCCAUAACUUUCGCAUACGAACUCCGAUUUUGACGUCGCAUAUAUCAAAAUCGAUCAGAAAAUUUUUCUGAGUCUGUCUAUGCCCGCCAAAGGCGGGUUCGACAAAUUUAGAAUCCCCAAAUUCGCCUCUGAAGUUUGAGUUUUCACCUCCUAAAGUUUUCUUUAUAUUUUUCGCAAUCUUCAAAAGUUUCCACAGGACACGUCUUUCACUUGUUCAAGCUCAAAUUUCCUGUGGUUACUUCUUGAGUGCUCCUAAGUAAAAGAAAAAUAUCAAAAAAAUAAAAUAAAAAGAAUUGCAGGUUUCGAACCGUGUUGUUCGCAAGCUGGAUUGAUUUGUCUCUUUUCCACCAAAUCGAUAGUUGCCAGAAACUUUUGGAAGAUCGAGCCACACUUAUUCUCCUCAAG